AACGAACGCUGGCGGCAGGCCUAACACAUGCAAGUCGAGCGGACCUUUCGGGGUCAGCGGCGGACGGGUGAGUAACGCGUGGGAAUAUGCCCUUCUCUACGGAAUAGUCCUGGGAAACUGGGGGUAAUACCGUAUACGCCCUUUGGGGGAAAGAUUUAUCGGGGAAGGAUUAGCCCGCGUUGGAUUCGGUAGUUGGUGGGGUAAUGGCCUACCAAGCCGACGAUCCAUAGCUGGUUUGAGAGGAUGAUCAGCCACACUGGGACUGAGACACGGCCCAGACUCCUACGGGAGGCAGCAGUGGGGAAUCUUAGACAAUGGGGGCAACCCUGAUCUAGCCAUGCCGCGUGAGUGAUGAAGGCCUUAGGGUUGUAAAGCUCUUUCAGCUGGGAAGAUAAUGACGGUACCAGCAGAAGAAGCCCCGGCUAACUCCGUG
rnacentral:rRNA from 1 species